UGCACAAUCCAGGGGUGCGGACAUAUGUUUGUACCUCGGAACGACACAUAUUUCAAUGUAAACUCCUGAGGGACGAAUCCCCUGACAAAGUCGGCUCAUCAACUCCGCCCCAAAUGCCAAGGCAGACGGAAUAACAGCAACAAUGUACCACGGGCUUACCAGGAAAACCCGCGACGGGUCAGAGAUUUGUCUGUCAAACAAAGUCAAAUGAUUGCAAGACAGCAGCAAUCAGUGCUGCUAAUGCGGGAAGAUUCAGGUAAAUUUGCAUGGUGACAGGAGGAGAGCAGAAGAUGGAUAUUAACUAACUGUAUAUAUUGCGACGAGCAUUACAACCCCAUUGAAAGAAAAAUAACAGCAAAAGAGCAGACCUGAAUACCGAUGUCAAGGCGUCAAGAUGGGUGGAUUUGAUUUGAGAAUCUCGACAGUCAAAACCUCAACGUGGGUGCUCCGAACAAACUUAAAAGUGACAUGAUCGUCGUUAAACACAAAAAUAUUGAGUUGAUCUGACAUUAAUGUAAAUCCUUUUCCGUACAAUUUAAGAAAUCUCACAACAAUGACAGCUAAAUGUACUGUCAUUGCAGUUAUUACAUUUGUUGCCAAUUAAA